GACGAACGCUGGCGGCGUGCUUAACACAUGCAAGUCGAACGGAAAGGCCCUGCUUUUGUGGUGUGCUCGAGUGGCGAACGGGUGAGUAACACGUGAGUAACCUGCCCUUGACUUUGGGAUAACUUCAGGAAACUGGGGCUAAUACCGGAUAGGUGCUCCUGCUGCAUGGUGGGGGUUGGAAAGUUUCGGCGGUUGGGGAUGGACUCGCGGCUUAUCAGCUUGUUGGUUGGGUAGUGGCUUACCAAGGCUUUGACGGGUAGCCGGCCUGAGAGGGUGACCGGCCACAUUGGGACUGAGAUACGGCCCAGACUCCUACGGGAGGCAGCAGUGGGGAAUAUUGCACAAUGGGCGGAAGCCUGAUGCAGCAACGCCGCGUGCGGGAUGACGGCCUUCGGGUUGUAAACCGCUUUCGCCUGUGACGAAGAGUGAGUGACGGUAAUGGGUAAAGAAGCACCGGCUAACUACGUG
rnacentral:rRNA from 1 species